GGUUUUGCCAUGUCACCCAGGCUGGUCUUGAACUCCUGGACUCAAGUGAUCCACCCACCUCAGGCUCUUAAAGUGCUGGGACUACAGGCAUGAGCUACUGUACUCAGCCUGGUGUUCUUAUAAACAGGGAAAUUUGAACACAGAGACAUACACAAAGGGAAGAAGAUGUGAAGAUACAGGAAGAAUGUGAAGAUGGUCAUCUAUAAACCAAAGAGAGGCUUGGGACAGACCCUACCCUCUCAGUCUUCACAGGACAACAACCCUGCCCGCACCUUGAUCUUGGACUUCUAGCUUCCAG
rnacentral:lncRNA from 1 species